ACCCUCUCAGGGUCACACCUGGAGAGUUUCCAGUACUCUACUAGUCCUGGCUAUGGCGGGGAGAAUCAAGCAGAGACCUGUCCAUUCCAUUCCUAGCUUGGCCAGUGGCUAGUGAGUGGAAGACAAUCUGCUACAAGU